GGCUCGGUUGUGCUUGUAGCACGUCCGCCGGUUAUUAUAAUUUGCACAUGCAGUUCAGCGGAGUGAUCCCGUUCGACUCGGGGCUGAGCCA